GAUAAUAUUUAUGCCUGACACCAUGAUAAUCAAAUGUUGAUUUAGUUGUUACACAGAGACUCAAGCCUUCACAAAGAAACUGGCUAGAACCAAUCACAACCACCAACCUUUUCUCUGAGCAUGGCAUGCCUGAGCGGCUCAUGGAUGAACUUCUGAUGUAUAAGGGCCUAACUAGGACCCCAUUCUCCUGUCUUGGACCUCAUUGCAACGGAAGCAGAAGAGUUGCAUAGAGAAACCAAGUGCAACAACGAAAAGAUCACUGGAAAGUGAAAGAGCGGGCUACUUGGUUAGCUGCUGCCCUAACUCAAGGGAAUCCAAGACCAGGGCCACUAUAAGGAAGAGAUCAACCCCAGGUCAUGACUUAUUAACUUAAUUGAAAUGCUAAAGUUACUUUUGUACCUGGAUAUAUGGAUAUAAAGGUACCAUCAAAGGAAGUUUGAUCCUUUCAAGCAAUGCUACUCCAUCAAGGCGGAAGUGUCCUACUAUUGCUGCAUGAAGACAUCGUAAAACGAUAUGCCCUUGCGCCAUGUAAAUCCCAGCGACUUGGUGUUAUUGAAGAUCUGGAUAAAGAAGCACCCAGAGGACCAACUGCAACCUCCUGAACAGGACAUUAGGAGGUGCUAUUGACUACCCAUUCUUCAGUGAAACUGAAAGAGUACUAAGCCAUGGACUCCCCACACCCAAGUAGAGCUGGCCCCACAAGAACCCACAGGUUGCCUACACACCGUAAGCAAGGAAAACGUUGGAAAGAACCGAGCUUGCACCAGGAAACUUCUGAUGUACCUGAAACAGCUAUUUAGUAGAGCUGGU